rnacentral:rRNA from 1 species
CCUACGAGAGGCUGCAGUGGGGAAUAUUGGACAAUGGGGGGAACCCUGAUCCAGCGACGCCGCGUGAGUGAAGAAGUAUUUCGGUAUGUAAAGCUCUAUCAGCAUGGAAGAAAGAAAUGACGGUACCUGACUAAGAAGCCCCGGCUAACUACGUGCCAGCAGCCGCGGUAAUACGUAGGGGGCAAGCGUUAUCCGGAUUUACUGGGUGUAAAGGGAGCGUAGACGGCGAUGCAAGUCUGAAGUGAAAGGCGGUGGCCCAACCUCCGGACUGCUUUGGAAACUGUAUGGCUGGAGUGCAGGAGAGGUAAGUGGAAUUCCUAGUGUAGCGGUGAAAUGCGUAGAUAUUAGGAGGAACACCAGUGGCGAAGGCGGCUUACUGGACUGUAACUGACGUUGAGGCUCGAAAGCGUGGGGAGCAAACAGGAUUAGAUACCCUUGUAGUC